rnacentral:rRNA from 1 species
CAGUAGCCACGGUAAUACGUAGGGUGCGAGCGUUAAUCGGAAUUACUGAGCGUAAAGCGUGCGCAGGCGGUUAUGUAAGACAGGUGUGAAAUCCCCGGGCUUAACCUGGGAACUGCGCUUGUGACUGCACAGCUAGAGCAUGGCGGAGGGGGGUGGAAUUCCACGUGUAGCAGUGAAAUGCGUAGAGAUGUGGAGGAACACCGAUGGCGAAGGCAGCCCCCUGGGCCAAUACUGACGCUCAUGCACGAAAGCGUGGGGAGCAAACAGGAUUAGAUACCCCCGUAGUCCCUGUCUCUUAUAC